rnacentral:lncRNA from 1 species
AUGUACCUCGUGUCGGGGAUCGGAGGGAGCAAGUUGACAGCGCCCGUCUUGAGCAAAAGGGAGCCGGGGCCAAAGAAGGAUUUGAGCGGCGUCGGGACUGGGAUGCCCCUGACGACGAGCAUCAAGAAUCAAAUGCUCCGUCUUCUGCGACGCACCAAGAGCACCCGAGAGCGCCCCGCAUCCUCGUCGAUCGUCUUCUCCAACAAGCGCUGCCUCACGUCCCUGGACAACGUCCUCCUGGAGUCCUCGCCCAAGCCCAUCCGACCCAGCAAGAGCGUGCGCCAGUCGGCGGUGUCCGAGUCGAUGGCGCUCGGCGCGGCGACCCCCAAACCCCCCUCCGCGGCCCCGGCCCCCCGGCCAGCACCCCCGCCCCCGCGGAGCCCAAGAAGAGCUCGGCGGCACCUCCCCACUCGAGGACUUACAGUAGGGAGUGGCACCACCGGGCUAGAAGACAGAGCAAGCAGGGUAGUAAUGCGGUUCCAAUUAACUCAGGAGGGCGAUCGUUGA